AUUUUAAGCCUGUAUAACUUUGAACUUCCAAAAAUGAAGAUGUCCUUAUUUUUAGCUUUGGCUGGAAGCCAUAUCUUUUGCCAGUGGAGAUGACCAUAUUGUAUAUCCGGGGCGGAGAGUAAGGUCGGGACAGAGACGAUCGGCGAAUACAGAACGCGACAAAGUUGACAGAAGACUUACGGAAAUAUGGGUAGCUCAAGCAGCACAGUGAUUACCACGGAUUUUCUGAUCCGAGAAGUUCGAAGUGUGCGAUCGAGUUUGUCGGACCGUGACAGACGACUUUUCAAUCACGCAAAAUUUGCCAUCGCACAGGAGACAGAAAAGUGUAACGACUGUGAACUAUUUAUAGAUUUUGAGGACCAAGAUGGCAUUACUAUAAAAACUAACAGUAAUCCAUCUGGCAGAAUAUUUGUCGGAUAUGAUGAGAACGAUAAACCGAACUACGUUUGGGAAAGACGUGGCUUUUGGCGCGCAGCAAAGAAAUUUUUUGUCGAUAGCUUCCACACAUUAUUACAUGCUGUAAAAAACGCCGUACCGGCAAUCGGUGCGGCUGUUGGAAUGCGAGCCAUUUCAUUCUACUGAAAGACGUUUCGUUUACUGAAGCCUACCAUUUCCAAUCGUUAUAUUUAUGAAAAUAAAUUUUAUAUUCGGUUUCCUCUGGUCGAUUUGACCAAAUGCAAAUGAAGACCUUACCGAGCCAAACAUUCAACGAAAUUAGAAACUCUAUCCAAGCAAUAAUAAAUAAAUAUAUGCAAAUCAAUAACAUUUGGCACGAUAAUUGCUGCGACAACCAUACCUUCAAUAUGACAUAAACAAAAAGAUCCCAUUGUAAAGGCAAUGCUGAAAGAACUUGCUACAGCAUGGACAUAUUAAAAAAAUGAAUAUUUUGAUUAAUAUUUUUGUUAUAUGAUAAACUUUUACGUUUAACAUUCAGUGUUAAGUUUUAAAAUCAUUCAUGCGUGAAAUAAAAUAAAAGCUUUAGUGCUAACACCACGAUUUCUAUAAUUAACAGCGUUGAAUAUUAAUUUAAGUCUAAAGUUAUUUAAAAUUGUAAUUUAAAAGUAUUUCAGUGAGAAUAGACAAAAUAAACAAAUUUAGAAAAACACUGGGGCGUCACCUUAGAAUGACUAUUGGCAAAACACCAGUUUAAAUCGAUUAAUAGUUCACGGAGCCUCAGUCCCCACCAUUGGCAUUUACAGUUUUGUAAAAAGAGCGUCAUAUCAGCUGGAAUUUUGCUCACCAUAAGACGACCAUCUCUGUUGCUCAUAUUUUAGCUCAACUGUUCGAAUAAUAGGUAGAGCUAUUGGACUGUGAGUUGGCGUAGGCGUCCCGAUUCGGUCAAGUGUUUGCGUGUAAGCGGAUAUCUCAGUAACCACUUGUGGAGAUGGAUUAAACUUCGCACAUUUAUUCACUGUGAUAAACUGAUUUAAAUGCACCGAGUUCCAUGACUCUACUUUGCUUUUUAAAAAGAAUUUUGCCUCUUUUUCGACUUAGCCAUCUUUAGCUUAGUUUUUGAACAUUGUAUGUAAACUGAUAGCUCAGUACCCACUGAUGGGAAUGGAUUGAAACUUUACACACUUUUCCACUGUGCUAAGCUGACGUGCAUUUUAAGGGUUUAUAACUCUGUUAAGCAGUUUUUACAAAAUUACGCCAUUUUUUUUAUUUCAUUAUGCCCCUUUUUGACUUUUGACGAGGCUGUUGAAUAGUCGAGCGUUGCUGUACUCUGAACAGCUCUUGUUAAUAAUUUGUUCUAUAUAUUACGUAUCCAGAUACGAAAAAUUUGAUUGCGUAAGUUCCAUUUCUUGACUUUUAGAUGCAAAAACCUUUUAAAAUAAAUAUUUGCUAAAUUUUAUGUCUGUGAUAGUGUGUGUAAUAAUAAUAGAGUAUUUCUGUUAUAUGAGUGUUGUGUACUGUUACAAUAGAAGUGUGUGUUUUACUUUUUUGCUGGCACAUGAUGUUUUUAUAUGAAACAGUCAAUUUAAUAGCUUUUAGUGGAUUUAAAUUCGUUCCGUAAGAGACAAUAGCUUUUCUGUAUUUUAUAUUCAUUUUGUUACAUCGAGUGUGCUUGUAGAUAAUCACGAACGUUAAAAAAACUGUCAUAAAUGCUGUUAGAUCUAUAAACAUAACAUACGUUUUGUGAGUACAUGUUUUGAUUUUUCUACUUUGAAUAUGAAUAAGAAAACAAUCUGACCAGACCAAGCCAGAAGCAAGUACAAUGUAUGCCUGAGGAACAUUACAAUAUAUCAUGAUAUGAAUUAUUAUCUAUCUAUAUAUCUGUCUGAUACAGCUAGCUCUUUUACUCUCUAUUUAUGUAAGUUAAAGAAACUCUUUUGAUUGUAAAACAGUCAGAAAAUAAAAUUUACAUUUUUUUCA